AUUGAACGCUGGCGGCAUGCCUUACACAUGCAAGUCGAACGGUAACAGGUCUUCGGAUGCUGACGAGUGGCGAACGGGUGAGUAAUACAUCGGAACGUGCCCGAUCGUGGGGGAUAACGGAGCGAAAGCUUUGCUAAUACCGCAUACGAUCUACGGAUGAAAGCAGGGGACCGCAAGGCCUUGCGCGGACGGAGCGGCCGAUGGCAGAUUAGGUAGUUGGUGGGAUAAAAGCUUACCAAGCCGACGAUCUGUAGCUGGUCUGAGAGGACGACCAGCCACACUGUGACUGAGACACGGCCCAGACUCCUACGGGAGGCAGCAGUGGGGAAUUUUGGACAAUGGGCGCAAGCCUGAUCCAGCCAUGCCGCGUGCAGGAUGAAGGCCUUCGGGUUGUAAACUGCUUUUGUACGGAACGAAAAGACUCUGGUUAAUACCUGGGGUUCAUGACGGUACCGUAAGAAUAAGCACCGGCUAACUACGUGCCAGCAGCCGCAGUAAGAC
rnacentral:rRNA from 1 species